GAUGAACGCUGGCGGCGUGCCUAAUACAUGCAAGUCGAACGAAACUUCUUUAUCACCGAGUGCUUGCACUCACCGAUAAAGAGUUGAGUGGCGAACGGGUGAGUAACACGUGGGCAACCUGCCCAAAAGAGGGGGAUAACACUUGGAAACAGGUGCUAAUACCGCAUAACCAUAGUUACCGCAUGGUAACUAUGUAAAAGGUGGCUAUACUACCGCUUUUGGAUGGGCCCGCGGCGCAUUAGCUAGUUGGUAGGGUAAAGGCUUACCAAGGCAAUGAUGCGUAGCCGAAUUGAGAGGUUGAUCGGCCACAUUGGGACUGAGACACGGCCCAAACUCCUACGGGAGGCAGCAGUAGGGAAUCUUCCACAAUGGGCGAAAGCCUGAUAGAGCAACGCCGCGUGGGUGAAGAAGGUCUUCGGAUCGUAAAACCCUGUUGUUAGAGAAGAAAGUGCGUGAGAGUAACUGUUCACGUUUCGACGGUAUCUAACCGGAAAGCCACGGCUAACUACGUG
rnacentral:rRNA from 1 species